GAGUUUGAUCCUGGCUCAGAACGAACGCUGGCGGCAGGCUUAACACAUGCAAGUUGAACGGUAUUUGUAUGGUGCUUGCACUAGACAAAGAGAGUAGCGCACUGGUGAGUAACACGUGGGAACGUACCUUGAAGUGGGGAAUAGCGUCUGGAAACGGACGAUAAUACCGCAUAAUCCCUGAGGGGGAAAGAUUUAUCGCUUUAAGAACGGCCCGCGGGAGAUUAGGUAGUUGGUGGGGUAAAGGCCUACCAAGCCUACGAUCUAUAGCUGGUCUGAGAGGACGAUCAGCCACAUUGGAACUGAGACACGGUCCAAACUCCUACGGGAGGCAGCAGUGAGGAAUAUUGGGCAAUGGAGGCAACUCUGACCCAGCCAUGCCGCGUGAGUGAAGAAGGUUUUCGGAUUGUAAAGCUCUUUCGGAUGUGACGAUGAUGACGGUAGCAUCUAAAGAAGCCCCGGCUAACUUCGUGCCAGCAGCCGCGGUAAUACGAAGGGGGCAAGCGUUGUUCGGAAUUACUGGGCGUAAAGGGAGUGUAGGCGGUUUAGUAAGAUAGUGGUGAAAUCCCAGAGCUUAACUUUGGAAUUGCCAUUAUAACUAUUAGACUAGAAUUACAGAGAGGAUAGUGGAAUACCCAGUGUAGAGGUGAAAUUCGUAGAUAUUGGGUAGAACACCAGUGGCGAAGGCGACUAUCUGGCUGUACAUUGA
rnacentral:rRNA from 1 species